AUUGAACGCAGGCGGCAGGCCUAACACAUGCAAGUCGAGCGAGCGGCGGACGGGUGAGUAAGGUAUGGGGAAUGCCCGAUAGAGGGGGAUAACUACUGGAAACGGUGGCUAAUACCGCAUACUAUCGGAUAACCUAUAUGGGAUUAGCUAGUAGGUGGGGUAAAGGCUCACCUAGGCGACGAUCUCUAGAGGGUCUGAGAGGAUGAUCAGCCACACUGUGACUGAGACACUGCCCAGACUCCUACGGAGGCAGCAGUGGUGAAUAUUUCACAAUGGGCGCAAGCCUGAUUCAGCCAUGCCGCGUGUAUGAAUAAUGCCUUAGGGUUGUAAAGUACUUUCAGCGGGGAGGCGUUACCCGCAGAUGAAGCACCGGCUAACUCCGUGUCAGCAGCCGCGGUAAUAC
rnacentral:rRNA from 1 species